CCUACGGGUGGCAGCAGUGGGGAAUAUUGGACAAUGGGGGGAACCCUGAUCCAGCGACGCCGCGUGAGUGAAGAAGUAUUUCGGUAUGUAAAGCUCUAUCAGCAGGGAAGAAAGAAAUGACGGUACCUGACUAAGAAGCCCCGGCCAACCACGUGCCAGGAGCCGCUGGAAUACGUAGGGGGCAAGUGUUAGCCGGAUUGACUGGUUGUAAAGGGAGCGUAGACGGCGAGGCAAGUCAGAAGGGAAAGGCGGGGGCCCAACCCCCGGACUGCUUUGGAAACUGUAUGGCUGGAGUGCAGGAGAGGUAAGUGGAAUUCCUAGUGUAGCGGUGAAAUGCGUAGAUAUUAGGAGGAACACCAGUGGCGAAGGCGGCUUACUGGACUGUAACUGACGUUGAGGCUCGAAAGCGUGGGGAGCAAACAGGAUUAGAUACCCCUGUAGUC
rnacentral:rRNA from 1 species